rnacentral:siRNA from 1 species
AGGAUUGUUCUACUGCGCCGACUC